GAUGAACGCUAGCUACAGGCUUAACACAUGCAAGUCGAGGGGAAACGAUAUUGAAAGCUUGCUUUCUUUAGGCGUCGACCGGCGAAUGGGUGAGUAACGCGUAUCCAACCUGCCCCUGAGUAAGGGAUAGCCCAUCGAAAGAUGGAUUAAUACCUUAUGGUUUCCUUUGAAGGCAUCAGAUUAGGAAUAAAGAUUUAUCGCUGAGGGAUGGGGAUGCGUCUGAUUAGCUUGUUGGCGGGGUAACGGCCCACCAAGGCGACGAUCAGUAGGGGUUCUGAGAGGAAGGUCCCCCACAUUGGUACUGAGACACGGACCAAACUCC
rnacentral:rRNA from 1 species